rnacentral:lncRNA from 1 species
CCCUGUAUUUGCACGGCGUCGCAUAAGUACAAGUACAUAACCAGGAUACAACCACUACACUGAACAUACAAACGUUCAACAUCUAUAUAUCCAUACACUAUUCACCACAUGUUCACAUUCAGGAUUUAAACAUAAAACCACAACUAUUAGUUAAAACGUUUCCAACCUGAAAACUCAUUUUGAAAUACUAAUUUAUAAAACCCACAAGGAAACCUUUUCAAAAUCGUUUCCCACACGAAAACCCUUUAUCUUUGAAACAUGCUACCACGAGGGGUAGAAAAUUAUUUUUCAUUUCAUAGAAAUCCAUAAGUCUUUAUUACGUUCAGAAAACCAACUGAAAUCUUAAAUAUUCAAACAUAAUGAAAUACUGAACCAUUUAAGCUGUCUAAGUUAUAUCAACAGAAAUAA